UACGGGGGGGGCAAGCGUUGUUCGGAAUUACUGGGCGUAAAGGGCUCGUAGGCGGCCAACUAAGUCAGACGUGAAAUCCCUCGGCUUAACCGGGGAACUGCGUCUGAUACUGGAUGGCUUGAGUUUGGGAGAGGGAUGCGGAAUUCCAGGUGUAGCGGUGAAAUGCGUAGAUAUCAGGAGGAACACCGAUGGCGAAGGCAGAUCUCUGGGCCGUAACUGACGCUGAGGAGCGAAAGCAUGGGGAGCGAACAGG
rnacentral:rRNA from 1 species